rnacentral:rRNA from 1 species
CGUGUUGUGAAAUGUUGGGUUAAGUCCCGCAACGAGCGCAACCCUUAUCCUUUGUUGCCAGCGGUCCGGCCGGGAACUCAAAGGAGACUGCCAGUGAUAAACUGGAGGAAGGUGGGGAUGACGUCAAGUCAUCAUGGCCCUUACGACCAGGGCUACACACGUGCUACAAUGGCGCAUACAAAGAGAAGCGACCUCGCGAGAGCAAGCGGACCUCAUAAAGUGCGUCGUAGUCCGGAUUGGAGUCUGCAACUCGACUCCAUGAAGUCGGAAUCGCUAGUAAUCGUGGAUCAGAAUGCCACGGUGAAUACGUUCCCGGGCCUUGUACACACCGCCCGUCACACCAUGGGAGUGGGUUGCAAAAGAAGUAGGUAGCUUAACCUUCGGGAGGGCGCUUACCACUUUGUGAUUCAUGACUGGGGUGAAGUCGUAACAAGGUAACCGUAGGGGAACCUGCGGUUGGAUCACCUCCUU